rnacentral:rRNA from 1 species
AUUAGACCUCAGAUCAGGCAGGAUUACCCGCUGAACUUAAGCAUAUCAAUAAGCGGAGGAAAAGAAACUAACAAGGAUUCCCCUAGUAACGGCGAGUGAAGCGGGAAGAGCUCAAAUUUGUAAUCUGGCCCUUUCAGGGUCCGAGUUGUAAUCUCGAGAAGUGUUUUCCGCGUCGGACUGCAUACAAGUCUAUUGGAAUAUAGCGUCAUAGUGGUGAGAGCCCCGUAACUGAUGCAGAUGCCCGAUGCUUUGUGAUACACUUUCGAAGAGUCGAGUUGUUUGGGAAUGCAGCUCAAAUUGGGUGGUAAAUUCCAUCUAAAGCUAAAUAUUGGCGAGAGACCGAUAGCGAACAAGUACCGUGAGGGAAAGAUGAAAAGCACUUUGGAAAGAGAGUUAACAGUACGUGAAAUUGUUGGAAGGGAAACGCUUGAAAUCAGACUUGCUAUUCGGAAUUCAGCCGCAAGGUGUACUUUUCGAUUUGCAGGCCAGCAUCAGUUUUUGGGGGUGGAAAAGGGUGGAGAGAAGGUAGCAACCCCGGUUGUGUUAUAGCUCUUCACUGGAUUCAUCUUUGGGGACUGAGGAUCGCAGUGCGCAUUUAUUUGCAAACCUCUCGAGGUUCGUACUUA